CUUUGAAGGAGUGUACAAGAGCACUUGAGAACCAUGUGCUUGCAGACGCCACAUCUCAUGAACUAAACACAGAAGAAUCAUAGGAUGACUUUCUGCAUGCUGAAAGCUCUCAUUUGGAUGGAGAUCAAGUGGCCACAGUAUCAGAUGGUGUUUUGGACUUGCAAGAUUUACAAAGAAGAAUUAAAGCUAUUGAAAAGGCAAUGGUGGAAAAGGAAAGGCAUUUUUCCGCAAAUCAAGUAGAAAAGAAAUUCGGGUGGCGGACCUACAGAGGCGCAAGGAGGUGCAGCUGCA